rnacentral:rRNA from 1 species
UACGUAGGUGGCAAGCGUUGUCCGGAUUUAUUGGGCGUAAAGAGCGUGUAGGCGGCUUUGCAAGUCCGUUGUGAAAACUCGAGGCUCAACCUCGAGACGCCGGUGGAAACUGCAAAGCUAGAGUCCGGAAGAGGAGAGUGGAAUUCCUGGUGUAGCGGUGAAAUACGCAGAUAUCAGGAAGAACACCCGUGGCGAAGGCGGCUCUCUGGGACGGUACUGACGCUGAGACGCGAAAGCGUGGGGAGCGAACAGG